AGAACUUAGAUCAGAGGGAAAUAAAUUCUAGGCUUUGAAAGCCCCUGGAAGAGUAAGUCCCCUCAAGCCCAGGAAAAGAGGAAGAGGAUACCCAGCGCAGAGGGAGGCGAUCCUAGACACAACCUUUUGUCUGCAGGUUAUCAAGACUGUGUCCUAGAUUCCAAGGUGACAGUGCCACAGUGUCCUGGUGACCAGUUUUCUAUUUCUUCAUCUUCCUUCCAUGGUGGAGACAUGCCCAUUGAGGAUAAAAUAAGAACUAAGGAGACAGCCCGCAUCACACAACAUUUCACUCAGCUGUGUCGCUGAGCACUGACAAACUCAAUUUACAAAAGGCAAGAGUGAGUUGACACCAUGCUGUGGCAGUUGUCCUGAUGGGAGGAAACGACUCAUUUCCUUCCAAGGUAGAACCCACCUUCUCUGAGAAGCAAGCUUGUGCAUAAGAGUGUUGAAGACAAGGAGGAACUGUACAGAAGAAGAUGCAGGAGGUCCAAAGAGAAGUCAGAGACAAAAGAAGGAAGGAAGGAAGCAAGCACUGCUCAUGAAUGGUGUGGAACCUGGGCCCCAAGGCUUCUCUGAGGGAU